UUAAUGCCCAUGGAUUCAGUUAAAAAUGGUGUAAACACUCGAAACAUAGUCAAAUUUUGGCAUGUACACUGAAGUUGCACAUUUAAAUUCUCAAAAUUCAACUGCUCCUCAUAUUAGGCCAUCAAAUAAUGUUCAGUAUACAGAAUUAACAAAUGAUCCAGCAAUAACAAUUCAACUAUAGUUCCUCGGAUGGUAAAUAUAAUAUAUUAUUAAAUUAAUUUAAUUCUAAGUUUUUCUUUUAAAAUAAUUCAGCAAUAUAUUGAAUGAAUUUAGCGGAUUUGUUUAAUAAUUUUAAAUUAAAUUAUAAAAUAAUAUUUAACUUUUUUAUAGUCAAUGUGAUUUGAAUAUCUCCCAAUAUAUAUUAAAGGCAUUUAUAUAAAAUAAAAAAAAAUUCAUGUGUUUUAUCUAAAAAAAAAAAAAAAAAUAGUUACUUAGGUACCUACUAUAUAAUAUAUACUUCUGUCAUGAUUUACAAAUAAAUAUGUAUUAUUACUUUGUUUAGGGCUAUGAAUCAACUACAUAAAAGUCUCACAGUUUGCCAUUAAGUUGAAACUUCACUUCAUUGCCAGUCUUUGAUGGUAAACAUAUUUUGUUUUAUAAUAGUUUCUAUUUAUCAACUUUUAAUCAAUAUUUAUAAAUAACUAUUGUUUUUACUUGCUAGAACAUAGUAUGUCUAGUAUGAUGGAACUAAUGAACAAUAUAACUAGAGAUCAGAAUAUAAUUAUACUAGGACAAGAACAAAUUUUAUCUAAAUUAGAACUACUCAAAAUUAAUUCUAAAACUGGAAGAUAGAAUUAUU